AGAGUUUGAUCCUGGCUCAGAACGAACGCUGGCGGCAUGCCUAACACAUGCAAGUCGAACGGCUCUUCGGAGCAGUGGCGCACGGGUGAGUAACGCGUGGGAACCUACCCUGAGGUUCGGAAUAACGGCUGGAAACGGCCGCUAAUACCGGAUGUGCCCUGAGGGGCAAAGGCUUGCCGCCUUGGGAGGGGCCCGCGUCCGAUUAGCUAGUUGGUGGGGUAAAGGCCUACCAAGGCGACGAUCGGUAGCUGGUCUGAGAGGAUGAUCAGCCACACUGGGACUGAGACACGGCCCAGACUCCUACGGGAGGCAGCAGUGGGGAAUAUUGGACAAUGGGCGCAAGCCUGAUCCAGCAAUGCCGCGUGUGUGAUGAAGGCCCUAGGGUUGUAAAGCACUUUCGCCGGUGACGAUGAUGACGGUAGCCGGAUAAGAAGCCCCGGCUAACUCCGUGCCAGCAGCCGCGGUAAUACGGAGGAUCCAAGCGUUAUCCGGAUUUAUUAGGUUUAAAGGGUGCGUAGGCGGAAGAAUAAGUCAGUGGUGAAAUCCUGCAGCUUAACUGCGGAACUGCCAUUGAUACUGUUUUUCUUGAGUACGGUUGAGGUAGGCGGAAUGUGUAGUGUAGCGGUGAAAUGCUUAGAUAUUACACAGAACACCGAUUGCGUAGGCAGCUUACUAAGCCGUAACUGACGCUGAGGCACGAAAGCGUGGGGAUCGAACAGGAUUAGAUACCCUGGUAGUCC
rnacentral:rRNA from 1 species